rnacentral:rRNA from 1 species
GACGAACGCUGGCGGCGUGCUUAACGCAUGCAAGUCGAACGAGGUCCAUCCAGCUUGCUGGUGAAGACCGAGUGGCGAACGGGUGAGUAACACGUGAGGAACCCACCCCGGAGACCGGGAUAACCCUCCGAAAGGAGAGCUAAUACCGGAUGCCCUCAUCGGAUCGCAUGUUCUGAUGAGGAAAUGGAUUCCGCUCCGGGACGGCCUCGCGGCCUAUCAGCUUGUUGGUGGGGUAACGGCCCACCAAGGCGUCGACGGGUAGCUGGUCUGAGAGGACGGUCAGCCACACUGGGACUGAGACACGGCCCAGACUCCUACGGGAGGCAGCAGCGGGGAAUAUUGCGCAAUGGGCGAAAGCCUGACGCAGCAACGCCGCGUGAGGGAUGAAGGCUUUCGGGUUGUAAACCUCUUUCAGCAGGGACGAUUGUGACGGUACCUGCAGAAGAAGCCCCGGCCAACUACGUGCCAGCAGCCGCCGCUGUAA